AUGAAAUUUCUUCUUCUUUUCUUUUUGGUUGGCAUGGUCUUUUCCCUGAAUGCUACAGGGACCUUUGACAAUCCUUGCUACAAUGGUGGUGGUUACUGUCUUCAUAAGAGUAUAGACUGCUUCGACGAGAACAAUGAAAUUCUUCCGUUAGAGUGUGAUACAAUAGAGAGAAGAUGUUGUAAGAUGUCAAACCUUGAUCGGUGAAAGUCAUCAACCCUGAUUUCCUGAUCAAAGCAACAGUUCUUCACUCAAUCAAUUAUCAUGGGCUCUACCAUUACAGGGCUAAAUCUAAUAUGAUUAUUAAAAGUAUGCUAAAAACAAAACAAAAAAUGUGGAUUUUGUUAUUUUGCUUUUUUAAAAAAAAGGUAUAUGUAGGACCCAGUCCAAGAUACUUUGUCUCCUGGACAAGACUGAACUAGAAAGUGCAGUCCCUUCUUUAGAGUUCCUCACCUAUUGGUCCAAAUCAAUACAGUUCACCUUCCAUGUAUAUGGGUUCUGGUGUGUGUGGAAUUCCAUUGGUUGAUUCAGAGUUUGGAUAACUUCAGCUAUUCGGCAGCCGGACCGUUGAAAACAGAUCAAAACCCCUUUGGAAUCUUUCCCAGAAUGUAACAUGAACACCUGAAGCUUCUGGUUGGAUUCAGGAAGCGUCCGUUGAGUCAGCUGGUGCUUUUCCCUUAUUAGCCUAGCCAGCCAUAGCUAACCAGUAGGCUUGUCCGAUCGAUGGAAAAAAUGUUUCAAUUCUCGUUUCUAAAGUAGGGGGUGCUGGCUCUUCGAUGUAGAAAUUAUUUCUAAAUGUUUCACCCAAAAUUUUCGGAUAUUUCUGAAAAUUCGUAAUGUUUCUAAAAUGUUUCUAAAAUGGCGGACGCGCAUGCGCAAUAGCCAAAAAACAGGAAACCGGGGGGGACUUUUCUGGGGGGUCUCCUGCCCUCAUUUCUUGAGCUAUUCUCAUCAAAUUUGGUACAGUGGGAGAACACAUUCCACACUCUUUGCUCAACAAAUUGCAGAAUGUUUCCUGUUUCCUAUUAUUUUUGGCGAAUUUUCAUAACUUUUUAUAAUACACUAUUUUUCAAUAUUUGAAGAAACCUGUUCCUGGUUUGAAAGUCUUAUUUCCUGGUCAAUUGGGUUCUUAUCACUGUAAAAGUCCCUCUUCUACUUGUGUAGACUUUGGAUUAGAAAUGCAGCACACGCCAAGCAAUGCCUUGACUGGAUUGGCAACGUCCUUUGGAAACUAUAAAUUAUCUUUGAACCUUUUGAUCAAUGGUGCCACUGGCUGACCUUGUGAUUGCAAAAAUGAAACUCUGGCUUAGGACUUUGGAUUAGAAAUGCAGCACACGCCAAGCAAUGCCUUGACAGGAUUGGCAACGUCCUUUGGAAACUAUAAAUUGCUGUGGACCCUCUACUGAAUCAAAUCAAUGUCUGACUUUGUGAUUGCAGAAAUAAAACUCAGCCCAAGGCUUGGGAAUAGAAAUGGAGCGUGAGGGAAGCAAUGCCUUGGCGGGUGCCCCACGUCCUUUGGAAACUAUUACUUCCAAUGUACCCUUUUAAGUUUGAAAGCUAUGUGUGUCUUUGUAAUUGAUGCAAUAACACUCAGCCCGGGGGCUUGGGAUUAUAAACGAAGCGUGAGGGAAGCUCAGCGCUUACAGGGACACAGACAUGCUUAGAAAACUAUAAUUUUCAAGCUCCCUCCUUUUAAGGCUUGGAAAAAAAGGCUUAUGGGGUGAUUGCUUUAUUCCAGAAAAAGUAAAAAAGGAAAGGCAA
ensembl:lncRNA